rnacentral:lncRNA from 1 species
CAAAACCCGAAGGAUCCACAAACUCGGAAGCAACCCACUGAGGAUCAGAUUCCUCUGGAGCGUAGUCUACACGUAGAAGUGCAUAUGCAUGAUUAAUGAGAUGCUCAUGAUAUGAUAAAGACAGGUUACAUGUUCUUGGAUGAUAACAACAAACAUAACUACCUCGAGUACAACUUACCUUCAUGGUAUAGAAAUAAACUAAUCUAGCUAUCAAAACAUAGAUUACUUCUAAGCAAAUUUUAUCAUCUUCAUUAAGCAAGGUUGUGUAGCUAUCAGACAACAAAGAUUAUUUAUAUGAAAUAAUCUAUAACCAGGGAGCAUAUCAUGCCAAGUACCCACUGGUUAUCAAUCAAUCCCAAAGAUCAAUCAAAACCUAAAAUGAUUAGGCUUUCUAUUUAUCUUAAUAAACUCUUAAUUAAAUAUUAAUGACAGUAAUUAAGUAUUAACAUCAAACAAUAAUUAAGUGCCAAAGGUCAUUAAGAUUAAUGACCUCAGGUCAUCACACAAUUCCAAAAUCACUCAAAUUCUAAUUUGGAAAUUAAGUUACUCAUUAUUUAAGUAAAGGCUAGCUAAAAGCAAACAAUUCUAUUUGCACACAUAACCAGGACAGCAGCAUAUACACAACUUCAUUCAACCAUAAUUAGAGAUACAAGCAUCCAACAAAGGUGAUAUUAGGCUUUCUGGAAAGCUUAUAUAAUUUUCUACAACUUUGUUAUUAUCUUCGAGAACUGAUUUAAUAGAUAAAAUAGCCAAACAGUAUGAAUAAACAAUUCUGUCCAGACCUUGGACAGAAUCAGACAUUAAGCUUCAUACAUCUAUAACCAGAGUUCUAGAUCACCAAAAUUCAUGAUCCAUAACAUUUUGGAAAGCUUAUGAAAAUUACUACAAUUCAUCUUUUAUCAUGAAAGCAUAAUUCAUAAGUUUAGUAGGUUGAAAUUGCACAACUACAGAAACUGAUCCAGGAUUUGACAGAAAGAAACCAUUUCUGAAACUUAAAUUUAAACAGGCAUAACUCAGAAACUAUAGGGCCAAAUGCCACCAAAAUUUAACACCAGCUAGAUACAUGAAUUCUAUACAACUUUGUUAUAGACAAGUUUCAUAUCCAACAUUAUUUACCUAGAGCAAUUCAUAAGGUUCCAGAAAUUGUCGAGAAACCACUAAUAUUUGAAUUAUAAAGAAAUAACAUUUUAUUUAUGUUCCAAACUUGAACCUGGGCAAAACCCAGCUUACUAACAGUUGUAAUACAUCAAAUAGAUACUAGAAAACAUCAUGGUCAUCCCUAAAUAAAUACCUUUCAUGUCUUUAUUAAUUUAUUUAGAUAAAUAGACAAAGUAAUAACCAUAUAUCAAAAGUACACAGUAAAUUCUGAAAAAACUACAGAAGCUCAUAUAUGCUCUCCAAAGUCUACUGUAUAAAUUUCAUGCCAUUUGGAUAAGUAUAGCAAUUUCCAUGAAAAAGAUAAAUUUCCAUCACAAUGAAGCAUGUAACAACAAGAUAAAUAAGAAAAUUGACAUUUUCUACAAACACAUAGCUAAAUUAUGUAUCUAUAUGAUAUAACAACCUCAUAUAAAGGCAUAGGAACCAUAUUUUACAUUUAUUUAUUUUUAGUUUAAUUGUAAACUAUUUAAUAAGCACUAAACAAGAUAAAUUAAUAACUUAAUCAUAUGUCAUCCAAUGAAUCUAAAAACUUAACCACAGCACACACACAUAAUCAUUAGCCUACCAUAAAAGUUUCAUCUUAAAAGAAGCUAUACAGCAAUAGAUAUGAAUUUCUCCCUUUUAAGCAUAAUUAAAAGACAUAAUUCAUAACUAAUUAUUUUACUAUAAAACAUAGUCAGUUCCAUAUUUUUAAUAAAAACUAGACAUUUCAAGGAGCACAACAAAAUUUGGUUCACCAAAAUUGGAGCUACCAAACUCUAGAUAUGAAUUUUCAAAGAUUCAACAAAACAUCUACAAACAAGUCCUUAUAGCACUAUUCACCUGAGUCACAGUCUGUGCAAUUAGACCCCUGGAGAACUUCCAAUUGUUGCGCGUGGUCCCUGGUCGCGAACUGAAAACAGGGGAGCUCGUCGGAGAUCGCGGUUUCGGCGUUGGGGUGCUCGUCGGCGGCAGAGGAGCAGCGGAGGAGCUUGCCCGGACUAGUGCGCACCUGCUGGUGGCCGUAGCUUGUCCCGCAAUGGCUCGAGGUGGCCUGGCCACGUUGAGGUGCUCCUCGGCGGCGUUUUUGGCCUGAGUGGAGGAAGAACGGACGUAGCCGGGGAUAGAAAUGGUUAGAGCUUGCACCAAGGGGCGCAAAAACUGGGGUUGAAAUUAGGGGUUUUUCUUAGCUAUUCCCUUACCACCCUCCUUAGCUAGGGAUUAAACAACUAUCACAAGCACGAUAAACACACUUUAAUUCCCUAAGCACAAUCAACCAAAAUAAACUUAUUUUUAAGUUGAUGCAUAAUGAUGUGCUUAACAAUUAUGCUUUGCAAUGCUUAUGAUGACAUGAUCCAGUUUUAGUAUUCGUAACAUCAGGGAUGUUACAGCCCUUCCCCCUUAACGAAAUCUCGUCCCGAGAUUUUCAGGGUACUAAAACCCGUGGGGUUAAGUAAUGGAAAAGAAAAUGUGUCAAGCACAUUAACUUCUGAGAAGUUCAUAAAACAAUUACAAUUGGUCCGAGAAUUACAACUAAGAUCAACAGAAUGUUGUAAUCAAUAAGAAUGUUAGAGAAUUCAUAAGAAGAUAUGGAUCUCCAAAUGAGCUUCCAAGGAGAAUGAAAGCACACUAACUGUAGACUAUAGCGGAGCAUGACCAGAGAUCCCGAUGUUUAACGAGCACCUAGUAGUAUUUCCUUAUGGCUGCAGUCCACAGGAGACUACAAGGUUCGACGCUAUAACGUGAUCACGGAUCAUGGUACCUACUAUAGAGUACGGUUACAAUAGCUUUCAAUGACCUAUGUUGGUUAUCCAAGUCAAGGGUUUUAGGUAAUUUCCACAAAGAUAUGGGCAUGGGUUCCCAUGAUAGGGCUCAAAGAGCGAGGGCACCUUAGUUGUGGGGCUAUAAUGGAUCAUGUCCAUAACCUCGAUACCUGCACGCGCCCAGUAGAAAUUUGUGUCAUCUGAACACACAAAAGACUCUAGGUUCCGACGCGGCACCGUGGUCACGGGACAUGGCACCACUAUAGGGCACCACAACAAUAACCCAUGUCUCACAAUCCCAAGAAUGUAACUGAGAUCAAAAGUCGAUCACAAUCACAAGGUGUUUAGGGAACUCAAAAGGACAAAUUUGAAUCCCUAAGGAGUGUCCAAAGAAUGAAACACCCUAAUUGUGGACUAUAAGGGAUCAUGAUCAUAUACUUUGAUAACAAUGAGCGCCCAGCAGUAUUUCCUCAUGGUCAUGAGCCAUAGGAGAUCCCAGGUUUUGACAUUGUUACCUAAGUCACAAGUCAUGGUACCUUAAGAGAACACAAUCAUAGUGACAUUCAAUCAACAAAAAUGUUGACAAAAGAUAUCAAGGAGGUAGCAUGUGUCCGAAUUAGAUGAAAUCAAGGAAGGUCACAUGCAUAACAAAUGAAUCAAGGAUUAGGAUCUUAUGGAGUAAAAGAUUAUCAAUCAGUUAACGAAACCUGGUACAUGAUGAGAUUCAUCAAUAAAACAGCUAUAACGAAUAAUAACUGUUUUUGAAGCAUAAGGAGGGGCUUUUAAGUAUCAUUAUAUUGUCAUGUUAUGCUUGAUAUGCAAUAUGCUCGUCCUAUACGUCUUUACAACGUUAGCUAGGAGGUAACUACUUAUAUAGGGCAUACUUUAUACAUUAUCUUUAUUGCUCUGGACGGAAUGUUGCAAGACUUUUGACAAAGCAUUGUUGGAGUAGUUUGAUUCUUCACUCGGCUUGUUGAAGAAAAAUUGAAGUCCCUUUCAAUGCCUUCUAUUUGAGUCGACAGAAAGUCUUCGUAGAACGGGGACAGCAAGCAUAAGAAAAGUUAAGGAGCAUUUAUAAGUCGUUAUCCUCAAAAACUUUUAAUUUGUAAAUUCCUUUUGAAGUUUUUCACAAGUAAUGUUGCAGAACAUCCAUGUAUGAGCUCUGAUACCAGCUGUGGCAGAACCUCCUGAAUUAAUUGGCCCACAUGCACCCAUCAUUAUCUCAAAGACUUCUGAUCGGCGUGCACGAGUUCCAAAUGACUCAAGAAGUCUGUCGGGUGCCCUCGGAGGACCCCGAAUCAUCCACGUUUUAACUCAUACAGGAUCAACAUGGAGUUACCACAACAUUACAACAUUUGUUACAAAAAUAACUUACAUCAGAGUGCGGAAGAUUUAUAACUUAAUUUACAACAUAUGAUGAAGUACAAACUUAACUAAAUUUUUAAAAGGUGUGUAGAGUAGCGAAAGCAUCCUAGGUGAAGCUUCUAAGGUAGGAGAGGUGGAUAAAUCAUGUCGCGCCCACCGACAUGACCUCCAUUAGCAGUCUAAGUCAGCACCUGCAACAGGGGUUAUAAAACCCUGAGUACGAAAGUACUCAACAAGACUUAACCGACUAGAAAAGAGGUGAAGACUCAGAUAUGCAGGCUAUAGGGAUUCAAGGUAAAGCUUUAGCAAGAUCAAAGCAUUUCUUUUGCAUAAAAGCUUACUAAGAGUAAAACCUACUUUCAAGUUUUAACUCAAGAUCAUCAUUUAUGACUAAUCAAAACUAUUAUCAAACUUUCAUAAGUAAACCAUAUCUUUCUUAUACCAAGAUUCACUUAUUACUACGAUGAUGGUACGAGGAUUGAGGCUCCAUAUCCGAGGAAACACGGCGAUUCGAAUCGAUUAAACCCAGCUGGGGAUUCAGUACCACACGACAUAUGUAGAACUUAAUCUUGCAUAUGUCAACCUUUUCUAUAGAUCCUCCCAUACAAGAACGGGUCCAGCGUCACCCGAGAGUACAGUACACCACCAUCCUACAGCCAAUCUAGAUGUUUCCCGGUCAUCUCAGAUCCGUAAGGUGGGUACACGCUACUCUCGCCAUCUCUCCACUCCCAGUACGCGGUUAGCCGUUCUCAAGUAUCGGAAUAGCUAUAGGUAAGGCUUACCGCCGCAUGUGGGCUGUACUCAAAGGUCUCAAUCACAACAGGCCAAUCAACGGUACGGUCCUUAAUCGACACAGUUGGAGACACUACUUUAAGACUCCAUUCUUAAAGCAAGUCCACCGACCGGUCUCAAGUUUAAACAUUAUUAACCAUAAAAGUAUUCCACAACAACCCUUCAAGCUUUCUCAUUUGAAAACCUAUCUAAUAAGCAGGGCUAAGCAUACUAAGCAUUUUCAUAAAGCAGGUAUCAAGGUUAAUAUGGAAAUCAUCAAGGUAGAUAAUGCAGCAAAUAGGAUUCACUCAACUCCUAUUCACCUAAUGCAUCAUAUUAACUCAAGUGAUAUAAAUAACUUUAUGAAAAUACAAGGAUAGGGUUUAAUGUCCGGGGCUUGCCUUGACCGGAAGGGAAGUUCGACAACUCAGCAAAACCCGAAGGAUCCACAAACUCGGAAGCAACCCACUGAGGAUCAGAUUCCUCUGGAGCGUAGUCUACACGUAGAAGUGCAUAUGCAUGAUUAAUGAGAUGCUCAUGAUAUGAUAAAGACAGGUUACAUGUUCUUGGAUGAUAACAACAAACAUAACUACCUCGAGUACAACUUACCUUCAUGGUAUAGAAAUAAACUAAUCUAGCUAUCAAAACAUAGAUUACUUCUAAGCAAAUUUUAUCAUCUUCAUUAAGCAAGGUUGUGUAGCUAUCAGACAACAAAGAUUAUUUAUAUGAAAUAAUCUAUAACCAGGGAGCAUAUCAUGCCAAGUACCCACUGGUUAUCAAUCAAUCCCAAAGAUCAAUCAAAACCUAAAAUGAUUAGGCUUUCUAUUUAUCUUAAUAAACUCUUAAUUAAAUAUUAAUGACAGUAAUUAAGUAUUAACAUCAAACAAUAAUUAAGUGCCAAAGGUCAUUAAGAUUAAUGACCUCAGGUCAUCACACAAUUCCAAAAUCACUCAAAUUCUAAUUUGGAAAUUAAGUUACUCAUUAUUUAAGUAAAGGCUAGCUAAAAGCAAACAAUUCUAUUUGCACACAUAACCAGGACAGCAGCAUAUACACAACUUCAUUCAACCAUAAUUAGAGAUACAAGCAUCCAACAAAGGUGAUAUUAGGCUUUCUGGAAAGCUUAUAUAAUUUUCUACAACUUUGUUAUUAUCUUCGAGAACUGAUUUAAUAGAUAAAAUAGCCAAACAGUAUGAAUAAACAAUUCUGUCCAGACCUUGGACAGAAUCAGACAUUAAGCUUCAUACAUCUAUAACCAGAGUUCUAGAUCACCAAAAUUCAUGAUCCAUAACAUUUUGGAAAGCUUAUGAAAAUUACUACAAUUCAUCUUUUAUCAUGAAAGCAUAAUUCAUAAGUUUAGUAGGUUGAAAUUGCACAACUACAGAAACUGAUCCAGGAUUUGACAGAAAGAAACCAUUUCUGAAACUUAAAUUUAAACAGGCAUAACUCAGAAACUAUAGGGCCAAAUGCCACCAAAAUUUAACACCAGCUAGAUACAUGAAUUCUAUACAACUUUGUUAUAGACAAGUUUCAUAUCCAACAUUAUUUACCUAGAGCAAUUCAUAAGGUUCCAGAAAUUGUCGAGAAACCACUAAUAUUUGAAUUAUAAAGAAAUAACAUUUUAUUUAUGUUCCAAACUUGAACCUGGGCAAAACCCAGCUUACUAACAGUUGUAAUACAUCAAAUAGAUACUAGAAAACAUCAUGGUCAUCCCUAAAUAAAUACCUUUCAUGUCUUUAUUAAUUUAUUUAGAUAAAUAGACAAAGUAAUAACCAUAUAUCAAAAGUACACAGUAAAUUCUGAAAAAACUACAGAAGCUCAUAUAUGCUCUCCAAAGUCUACUGUAUAAAUUUCAUGCCAUUUGGAUAAGUAUAGCAAUUUCCAUGAAAAAGAUAAAUUUCCAUCACAAUGAAGCAUGUAACAACAAGAUAAAUAAGAAAAUUGACAUUUUCUACAAACACAUAGCUAAAUUAUGUAUCUAUAUGAUAUAACAACCUCAUAUAAAGGCAUAGGAACCAUAUUUUACAUUUAUUUAUUUUUAGUUUAAUUGUAAACUAUUUAAUAAGCACUAAACAAGAUAAAUUAAUAACUUAAUCAUAUGUCAUCCAAUGAAUCUAAAAACUUAACCACAGCACACACACAUAAUCAUUAGCCUACCAUAAAAGUUUCAUCUUAAAAGAAGCUAUACAGCAAUAGAUAUGAAUUUCUCCCUUUUAAGCAUAAUUAAAAGACAUAAUUCAUAACUAAUUAUUUUACUAUAAAACAUAGUCAGUUCCAUAUUUUUAAUAAAAACUAGACAUUUCAAGGAGCACAACAAAAUUUGGUUCACCAAAAUUGGAGCUACCAAACUCUAGAUAUGAAUUUUCAAAGAUUCAACAAAACAUCUACAAACAAGUCCUUAUAGCACUAUUCACCUGAGUCACAGUCUGUGCAAUUAGACCCCUGGAGAACUUCCAAUUGUUGCGCGUGGUCCCUGGUCGCGAACUGAAAACAGGGGAGCUCGUCGGAGAUCGCGGUUUCGGCGUUGGGGUGCUCGUCGGCGGCAGAGGAGCAGCGGAGGAGCUUGCCCGGACUAGUGCGCACCUGCUGGUGGCCGUAGCUUGUCCCGCAAUGGCUCGAGGUGGCCUGGCCACGUUGAGGUGCUCCUCGGCGGCGUUUU